AUUGAACGCUGGCGGCAUGCUUUACACAUGCAAGUCGAACGGUAACAGGCCGCCAGGUGCUGACGAGUGGCGAACGGGUGAGUAAUGCAUCGGAACGUGCCCAGGCGUGGGGGAUAACUACUCGAAAGAGUAGCUAAUACCGCAUACGAUCUAUGGAUGAAAGCGUGGGACCGUAAGGCCUCUCGCGAUUGGAGCGGCCGAUGUCAGAUUAGGUAGUUGGUGGGGUAAAGGCUCACCAAGCCAACGAUCUGUAGCUGGUCUGAGAGGACGACCAGCCACACUGGGACUGAGAGACGGCCCAGACUCCGACGGGAGGCAGCAGUGGGGAAUUUUGGACAAUGGGCGCAAGCCUGAUCCAGCAAUGCCGCGUGCAGGAAGAAGGCCUUCGGGUUGUAAAAUGCUUUUGUACGGAAAGAAACGGCUCUGGUUAAUACCCGGGGCUAAUGACGGUACCGUAAGAAUAAGCACCGGCUAACUACGUG
rnacentral:rRNA from 1 species